AGUGAACGCUGGCGGUAGGCCUAACACAUGCAAGUCGAACGGCAGCACAGGAGAGCUUGCUCUCUGGGUGGCGAGUGGCGGACGGGUGAGGAAUACAUCGGAAUCUACUCUGUCGUGGGGGAUAACGUAGGGAAACUUACGCUAAUACCGCAUACGACCUACGGGUGAAAGCAGGGGAUCUUCGGGCCUUGCGCGAUUGAAUGAGCCGAUGUCGGAUUAGCUAGUUGGCGGGGUAAAGGCCGACCAAGGCGACGAUCCGUAGCUGGUCUGAGAGGAGGAUCGGCCACACUGGAACUGAGACACGGUGCAGACUCCUACGGGAGGCAGCAGUGGGGAAUAUUGGACAAUGGGCGCAAGCCUGAUCCAGCCAUACCGCGUGGGUGAAGAAGGCCUUCGGGUUGUAAAGCCCUUUUGUUGGGAAAGAAAUCCAGCUGGCUAAUACCCGGUUGGGAUGACGGUACCCAAAGAAUAAGCACCGGCUAACUUCGUGCCAGCCGCCGCCUAA
rnacentral:rRNA from 1 species